AGUGAACGCUGGCGGUAGGCCUAACACAUGCAAGUCGAACGGCAGCACAGUAAGAGCUUGCUCUUACGGGUGGCGAGUGGCGGACUGGUGCGGAAUACACCGGAACCUACUUUUUCGUGGGGGAUAACGUAGGGAAACUUACGCUAAUACCGCAUACGACCUACGGGUGAAAGCAGGGGAUCUUCGGACCUUGCGCGAUUGAAUGAGCCGAUGUCGGAUUAGCUAGUUGGCGGGGUAAAGGCCCACCAAGGCGACGAUCCGUAGCUGGUCUGAGAGGAUGAUCAGCCACACUGGAACUGAGACACGGUCCAGACUCCUACGGGAGGCAGCAGUGGGGAAUAUUGGACAAUGGGCGCAAGCCUGAUCCAGCAAUACCGCGUGGGUGAAGAAGGCCUUCGGGUUGUAAAGCCCUUUUGUUGGGAAAGAAAAGCAGCAGGUUAAUACCCCGCUGUUCUGACGGUACCCAAAGAAUAAGCACCGGCUAACUUCGUG
rnacentral:rRNA from 1 species